CAAUAGCGUAUAUUAAAGUUGUUGCAGUUAAAAGCUCGUAGUUGGAUCUCAGGGUGAGCUCAGUUGGUCGGCCUACUGGUCAGAACUGGCUGACUCUCCCUUGUUUCUGAAUCCCGGUCGUCGUUAACUCGUUGGCUGUGGACUUCAGAUCGUUUACCUUGAAAAAUUAGAGUGUUCAAAGCGGGCGUUUGCUUGAAUACAUUAGCAUGGAAUAAUGGAAUAGGACCCUGGUUCUAUUUUGUUGGUUUUGAGGACCAGAGUAAUGAUUAAUAGGGAUAGUUGGGGCGAUUCAUAUUUAAUUGUCAGAGGUGAAAUUCUUGGAUUUAUGAAAGAUGAACUUCUGCGAAAGCAUUUGCCAAGGAUGUUUUCAUUUAAUCAAGAAC
rnacentral:rRNA from 1 species